rnacentral:rRNA from 1 species
AGGGCGACACACGUGCUACAAUGGCCGGCACAGCGGGAAGCGAGGGGCGACCUUGAGCGGAUACCCUCAAAGCCGGUCUCAGUUCGGAUUGCAGUCUGCAACUCGACUGCAUGAAGUUGGAAUCGCUAGUAAUCGUGGAUCAGCCAAGCCGCGGUGAAUACGGUUCCCGGGCCUU